rnacentral:sRNA from 1 species
GAAAGUACACACGAAAUGAUAACACAACAUAUAUAGUGUUCGUUACAAAGCCAGCUAUUUUUAUGUAGCCAGUGAAAUUAAAAUAGUUGGGAAAGGCUCAAACUAAAUGCGUGCUAAAAAUGUUAAUUGUGGUCGUUAUUUGUCAUUGUUGCAUGUAGAUAUCAACCAAAACAAAUACCCAAGGCGACAAAAAAAAUUUCCAAAGCAAAAUCCUAACGGACACAAGCAAAAGAAAAAUAUGCCAAACAUGGAAAUCCAUUUGUGAAACAUAUCUUAAAAACAAUUACAAAAGGUUGUUGUCUGUGUUGUGGAAGUUUCCUGUCACUGACAAAAUGUUGAAAUCUAAUGUGUCUUUCGUAGAAGCCUCUUUGCCUUUAUAUUGCUUAGUAACAACAAGAAGUAUGUUCCAUACAUGUCCACUGAGAUUGGAUUUUCUAUGAAAGUUAGAUACGAAAACAAAUGGCCUGCCGCAAAAGCCUGUAUAAAAUGUGUGCAAAAUAAUAGGAAUGGACGCUGGAAAGUCCAUGACAAAUUGUCAAAUCGCCUUAUUACUGUGUGUGCCUAAUUGGGUGCAACUGCCGUCCCUGCCUAUUCAUUGGCAUAGUUCCUGUAUUGCCCCAAAAAAUAUGUUCGUAGGUAGCAGGUAACAAAAUCUAUGGGUGAAUACCAUCUAACGAUGUCCAUACAAAAUGAUGCACACGCAUGUCUGUCCGUCAAAGCUAACAACACAAUCAAAUACCUAAGGAUCUGUAAUGGGAAGAUAAGUAUAUUUUUUGAAAUUCAUCUAUUGCAAUAUUCUAAUUCGUUUUCUCCUCUUUUCAGGUAAUCUUUCUCAUAAAUUAUUUUAAAUAUAUAUCUUUCAUUUCUAAAUUUCAGGUAACAUCACGAAACAUCUAGUAUGCUGCUAUGAUCUGACAUCUAUAAAAUAAUUGCGACCUAAUUGUGGCAAGAGCCAUUGUCCUGCAGCCGUUAACUUCUGUCCAACCGUCUUGAGCAUUUGCAUGUGUGUUUCGAAAUU